AGUGGAUGGGGAGCAACCUAGUUGUGCGUGUGUAAAGGUAGUGCCAAGAAAAGCGGUGAUCAUGAUGAAAAUCAAUUCCCGGUACCCGAAACCGACACAGGUGGGCAAGUAGAGAAUACUAAGGGGCGCGAGGUAACUCUCUCCAAGGAACUCGGCAAAAUGACCCCGUAACUUAGGGAGAAGGGGUGCCACCGAGAGGUGGUCGCAGUGAAGAGGCCCAGGCGACUGUUUAGCAAAAACAUAGGUCUCUGCAAACUCGAAAGAGGAGGUAUAGGGGCUGACGCCUGCCCAGUGCCGGAAGGUUAAAGAAGUUGGUCAUUCUUAGGAUAAAGCUAGCGACUGAAGCCCCGGUGAACGGCGGCCGUAACUAUAACGGUCCUAAGGUAGCGAAAUUCCUUGUCGGGUAAGUUCCGACCCGCACGAAAGGCGUAACGAUCUGGGCGCUGUCUCGGAGAGAGGCUCGGCGAAAUAGGAUUGUCUGUGAAGAUACGGACUACCUGCAUUUGGACAGAAAGACCCUAUGAAGCUUUACUAUAGCUUGGAAUUGUGUUCGGGCUUCCUGUGCGCAGGAUAGGUGGGAGGCGAAGAAGGUAUUCUUGUGGGGAUACUGGAGCCAACGGUGAGAUACCACUCUCAGGAGGCUAGAAUUCUAACUUAAUUAAGGACAGUUUCAGGUGGGUAGUUUGACUGGGGCGGUCGCCUCCAAAAAGGUAACGGAGGCGUACAAAGGUUCCCUCAGACUGGUUGGAAAUCAGUCGCAGAGUGCAAAGGCAGAAGGGAGCUUGACUGCGAGAAGUACAGUUCGAGCAGGGUGGAAACACGGUCUUAGUGAUCCGACGGUGCUGUGUGGAAGGGCCGUCGCUCAACGGAUAAAAGUUACUCUAGGAUAACAGGCUGAUCUCCCCCAAGAGUUCACAUCGACGGGGAGGUUUGGCACCUCGAUGUCGGCUCAUCGCAACCUGGGGCGGAAGUACGUCCCAAGGGUUGGGCUGUUCGCCCAUUAAAGCGGUACGUGAGCUGGGUUCAGAACGUCGUGAGACAGUUCGGUCCAUAUCCGAUGUAGGCGUGAGAAUAUUGAGAGGAGCCUUCCUUAGUACGAGAGGACCGGGAAGGACGCACCGCUGGUGUACCUGUUAUGAUGCCAAUUGUAAACGCAGGGUAGCCAAGUGCGGAGAGGAUAACCGCUGAAAGCAUCUAAGUGGGAAGCCCACCUCAAGAUGAGUAUUCUGGUGUAAGGUCACGGGAAGACGACCCGUAAAUAGGCACGAGGUGGAAGUGCAGAGAUGUAUGAAGCCGAAGUGUACUAAUAGACCGUCGGCUUGACC
rnacentral:rRNA from 1 species